GUUUACAUGGCCAAGGAGGAAAUUAAGCCUAAUGGCAUACUCAUGAAUGGAGGAAGUUCACUUUUACUAAAUAUAACAUGUUCUUAGACCUAAACAAUAAUGGUCGGAAUCCUCCGUCUCCGUCGCGUCAGAAAUCGCCCCGUGGCGGCGGCGGAGGGCCAAACACGGCAAUCCAAACACCAUUCCCUUCGUCUCAAUGUCCUAUACACAAAUCCAGGGUUCAAGAUAAGCAUGUCCAUUGGAAGUGUACAAGUAUGGAGACAAGGGCUGCCAUUCUCUUUUUUCUGUUUUGAUUAAAAACAAGUAUUGUAAUGCUAUGUAGCUAUUAUGUAACGUGUGAAUGUAAAUGCGCAUGCAAACUAUGCUUAUGUAAUGAUCAUUGAUCAAUACAAUUUAUGAUUCAAGAUUAAA